rnacentral:rRNA from 1 species
CACGUAGGGCGCGAGCGUUGUCCGGAAUUAUUGGGCGUAAAGAGCUCGUAGGCGGCCUGUUGCGUCCGCUGUGAAAGCCCGGGGCUUAACCCCGGGUCGGCAGUGGAUACGGGCAGGCUAGAGGUAGGUAGGGGAGAAUGGAAUUCCUGGUGUAGCGGUGGAAUGCGCAGAUAUCAGGAGGAACACCGGUGGCGAAGGCGGAUCUCUGGGCCAUAACUGACGCUGAGGAGCGAAAGCAUGGGGAGCGAACAGG